AGCCAACUGGCUCAGCUGGUUAGAGCAUCGUGUUCAUAACACGAAGAUGUUGGGUUCGAGCCCCAAGUUGGCUA
rnacentral:tRNA from 1 species